UACGACCACAUCAUACUGAAACACCGGUUCCCAUACGAUUACUGAAGUUAAGCAAUAUCAAGCUUGGUCAGUACCUAGAUGGGUGCCCGCUUGAGAGUACCAGGUGCAGUAA